UUCCCCUUCGUCUAGAGGCCUAGGACACCGCCCUUUCACGGCGGUAACAGGGGUUCGAAUCCCCUAGGGGACG
rnacentral:tRNA from 1 species